rnacentral:rRNA from 1 species
UGGGGAAUUUUGGACAAUGGGGGCAACCCUGAUCCAGCAAUGCCGCGUGUGUGAAGAAGGCCUUCGGGUUGUAAAGCACUUUUGUCCGGGAAGAAAUCGCACCUGAUAAUACCGGGUGUGGAUGACGGUACCGGAAGAAUAAGGACCGGCUAACUACGUGCCAGCAGCCGCGGUAAUACGUAGGGUCCAAGCGUUAAUCGGAAUUACUGGGCGUAAAGCGUGCGCAGGCGGUUGUGCAAGACCGAUGUGAAAUCCCCGGACUUAACCUGGGAAUUGCAUUGGUGACUGCACGGCUAGAGUGUGUCAGAGGGGGCUAGAAUUCCACGUGUAGCAGUGAAAUGCGUAGAGAUGUGGAGGAAUACCGAUGGCGAAGGCAGCCCCCUGGGAUAACACUGACGCUCAUGCACGAAAGCGUGGGGAGCAAACAGG